UCCCUGGUGGCUCAGAGGUUAAAGCAUCUGCCUGCAAUGCAGGAGACCUGGGUUUGAUUCCUGGGUUGGGAA
rnacentral:tRNA from 1 species